CAAAUACUCCCUCCGUCCCAUAUUAAUUGUCGCUCAAACGGAUGUACCUAGACGUAUUUCAGUGCUAGAUACAUCCGUUUGAGCGACAAUUAAUAUGGGAUGGAGGCAGUACAUU
rfam:Triticum aestivum genome assembly, contig: Triticum_aestivum_CS42_TGACv1_scaffold_049399_1BS